rnacentral:ncRNA from 1 species
CAGUCGUCCUAACUGGUAACGGUUAGAGAGUAUAAUCGGGUGAAUUGCUGGAAAACCCUGAUAGCCCUUCAUACUACAACGCAGCCGGAAACGGCAAACGUGAAAGUUAGAAAAAUGAAGGGAUUGGGCAAUCAGCAGCCGAGCCCCUGUACCGAAAGGUUGGGGAAGGUUCAACGACUAGGGCAUACCACCUAAGGCCGCCAUAAACGGUACGGUGAUGAAGCCCGUAGGACACUAAGAGGUGUUCGAAGUACCCGACCCCGAACAGACUCAAAAGAGUGCUGAGGGUGAAGAUAUAGUCUGGUCAACAGGGAAACCUGUUG